GUAUUCGCUUUGACAGCACAUAUACUAAAAUUGGAACGAUACGAAUAUUAGCAUGGGCUUUGCAUAAGGAUGACACACAAAUUCAUGAAAUGUUCCAUAUUUUG
ensembl:snRNA U6 U6 spliceosomal RNA